rnacentral:rRNA from 1 species
AUGAAAAAUAAAAUAGAUACAAUAUGUAUUAUUGUUUGGAACUUUCAAUGUACUUUAGUUAAAUUUACUUCACAUGUAGUUAGCAGUUCUGUAUUCACUUUGAUCAGAAUAGAUACUAUUUUAUUUAACUUCGUCGUCACUACACCCAUGCUCUCGCGGCCUAGGGAAAACCCUAUUUGUGUUGUUGCCAUGGCUGUUGAGGACGAUUAUGGAGGAGGUGAGGGCGAGAAGAAAUUACAAGAGGAAGGGCGAGGACCAGGUAGCAACGUGGUCCCACUGCUACUUGCAAGGGAUGUAGCUUUCUGA